AGUGAACGCUGGCGGUAGGCCUAACACAUGCAAGUCGAACGGCAGCACAGUAAGAGCUUGCUCUUACGGGUGGCGAGUGGCGGACGGGUGAGGAAUACAUCGGAAUCUACUUUUUCGUGGGGGAUAACGUAGGGAAACUUACGCUAAUACCGCAUACGACCUACGGGUGAAAGCAGGGGAUCUUCGGACCUUGCGCGAUUGAAUGAGCCGAUGUCGGAUUAGCUAGUUGGCGGGGGAAAGGCCCACCAAGGCGACGAUCCGUAGCUGGUCUGAGAGGAUGAUCAGCCACACUGGAACUGAGACACGGUCCAGACUCCUACGGGAGGCAGCAGUGGGGAAUAUUGGACAAUGGGCGCAAGCCUGAUCCAGCCAUACCGCGUGGGUGAAGAAGGCCUUCGGGUUGUAAAGCCCUUUUGUUGGGAAAGAAAAGCGGCAGGUUAAUACCCCGCUGUUCUGACGGUACCCAAAGAAUAAGCACCGGCUAACUUCGUG
rnacentral:rRNA from 1 species